GAUUUUCUUCUUUUCACUCAUCGUUCUUUUACUAGGGAUUUUCGUACUAUGUCAACACUUGUUGAAGUCAUUACAAAUCAAAUUAUUAUAGAGGCGGUUCUGUGUUCGACUUUUUAAAAAGUUAACUUUUCGUGUUUAUUUAAUUAUAAAAAAUAUAAGUAUAUUUCCUGGUGCAGAAGAUGUCUGGUGAUGUUCAAGCAAGAAAACGGAAAGAGAAGAAACGUAAAAAGGAUGAGGAAGAUAACAUUAUACCAUCACCUACUCUGGGAAAUAUUAAUGAAAAUUUAACAGAUAAUGUAACUAUACAUAUUUAUAAAGAAAGUACCACAGGAGGACAUUGGUGUGCUCGAAUUAUAUUCUUUGUCAUUUUAACAAUGCUUGUGGGUUUAAUUGGUAUAGUUAUUUUUGAGCAUAGGGGUACUACAGAUAUCAGCACACCAUUAGAAUCUUCUCGUUGGGCUUUUAUAUUUGAAGGAUGGGUUGAUGAUUCUGCAUUAUUAUCUAAUGAAGAAUCACAUGAUAAUGAACAUGAAGAAACUAAAGAAAUAGAAAAGGAACAAAAGAUGAUGAAGAUAAUAAAAAAACUAUAAAAAUUAAAAUUUCUAAUGAAGAAGAAAUUCAAGAAGAUGAAAUAUCAAAUGAAUAUGCAGAGGAAGAAAAAGAACAAUAAAUGAAAAUGAAUCAAAUGAAGAGCAAAAUGUUUUUCAAAGUAAAGAAGAAGAAUUAAGCCAUGAAAGUGAAUAUGAAGACAGAGAACAACAAGAAGAUAUAUUGGAAGAAGAUAUUACACCAGAAGAAUUUGAUGAUAUUAAUGUGUUAGAAGAAAUAUACAGUAUUAGUACAGAAAAAUUUUCAGAUGAAAAAAAUAUUUUAUAUGAAACAGAUAGUCAAUUUGAUAAAA
rnacentral:misc_RNA from 1 species